CCUACGGGAGGCUGCAGUGGGGAAUAUUGGACAAUGGGGGCAACCCUGAUCCAGCCAUGCCGCGUGUGUGAAGAAGGCCCUCGGGUUGUAAAGCACUUUCAGCGAGGAAGAACGCCUGUACGUUAAUACCCAUUAGGAAUGACAUCACUCACAGAAGAAGCACCGGCUAACUCCGUGCCAGCAGCCGCGGUAAUACGGAGGGUGCGAGCGUUAAUCGGAAUUACUGGGCGUAAAGCGCGCGUAGGUGGCUUGAUAAGCCGGUUGUGAAAGCCCGGGCCUAACCUGGGAACGGCAUCCGGAACUGGGAAGCUAGAGUGCAGGAGAGGAAGGUAGAAUUCCCGGUGUAGCGGUGAAAUGCGUAGAUAUCGGGAGGAAUACCAGUGGCGAAGGCGGCCUUCUGGACUGACACUGACGCUGAGGUGCGAAAGCGUGGGUAGCAAACAGGAUUAGAUACCCGUGUAGUC
rnacentral:rRNA from 1 species